rnacentral:rRNA from 1 species
UUUUAUGGAGAGUUUGAUCCUGGCUCAGGAUGAACGCUGGCGGCGUGCCUAAUACAUGCAAGUCGAGCGAACGGACGAGAAGCUUGCUUCUCUGAUGUUAGCGGCGGACGGGUGAGUAACACGUGGAUAACCUACCUAUAAGACUGGGAUAACUUCGGGAAACCGGAGCUAAUACCGGAUAAUAUUUUGAACCGCAUGGUUCAAAAGUGAAAGACGGUCUUGCUGUCACUUAUAGAUGGAUCCGCGCUGCAUUAGCUAGUUGGUAAGGUAACGGCUUACCAAGGCAACGAUGCAUAGCCGACCUGAGAGGGUGAUCGGCCACACUGGAACUGAGACACGGUCCAGACUCCUACGGGAGGCAGCAGUAGGGAAUCUUCCGCAAUGGGCGAAAGCCUGACGGAGCAACGCCGCGUGAGUGAUGAAGGUCUUCGGAUCGUAAAACUCUGUUAUUAGGGAAGAACAUAUGUGUAAGUAACUGUGCACAUCUUGACGGUACCUAAUCAGAAAGCCACGGCUAACUACGUGCCAGCAGCCGCGGUAAUACGUAGGUGGCAAGCGUUAUCCGGAAUUAUUGGGCGUAAAGCGCGCGUAGGCGGUUUUUUAAGUCUGAUGUGAAAGCCCACGGCUCAACCGUGGAGGGUCAUUGGAAACUGGAAAACUUGAGUGCAGAAGAGGAAAGUGGAAUUCCAUGUGUAGCGGUGAAAUGCGCAGAGAUAUGGAGGAACACCAGUGGCGAAGGCGACUUUCUGGUCUGUAACUGACGCUGAUGUGCGAAAGCGUGGGGAUCAAACAGGAUUAGAUACCCUGGUAGUCCACGCCGUAAACGAUGAGUGCUAAGUGUUAGGGGGUUUCCGCCCCUUAGUGCUGCAGCUAACGCAUUAAGCACUCCGCCUGGGGAGUACGACCGCAAUGUUGAAACUCAAAGGAAUUGACGGGGACCCGCACAAGCGGUGGAGCAUGUGGUUUAAUUCGAAGCAACGCGAAGACCCUUACCAAAUCUUGACAUCCCUUUGACAACUCUAGAGAUAGAGCUUUCCCCUUCGGGGGACAAAGUGACAGGUGGUGCAUGGUUGUCGUCAGCUCGUGUCGUGAGAUGUUGGGUUAAGUCCCGCAACGAGCGCAACCCUUAAGCUUAGUUGCCAUCAUUAAGUUGGGCACUCUAAGUUGACUGCCGGUGACAAACCGGAGGAAGGUGGGGAUGACGUCAAAUCAUCAUGCCCCUUAUGAUUUGGGCUACACACGUGCUACAAUGGACAAUACAAAGGGCAGCGAAACCGUGAGGUCAAGCAAAUCCCAUAAAGUUGUUCUCAGUUCGGAUUGUAGUCUGCAACUCGACUACAUGAAGCUGGAAUCGCUAGUAAUCGUAGAUCAGCAUGCUACGGUGAAUACGUUCCCGGGUCUUGUACACACCGCCCGUCACACCACGAGAGUUUGUAACACCCGAAGCCGGUGGAGUAACCUUUUAGGAGCUAGCCGUCGAAGGUGGGACAAAUGAUUGGGGUGAAGUCGUAACAAGGUAGCCGUAUCGGAAGGUGCGGCUGGAUCACCUCCUUUCU